CAAUAGCGUAUUCUAACGUUGCUGCAGUUAAAAGGCUCGUAGUCGAACCUCUGGCCUUUGCUGGAUGCGGCCCCGUGCCAAGUUGCACGCGUGUUUGCCGUGUCUGCGGGUCAUCCUUCUGGAGAGCACUCCUGCCCUUGAUUGGGUUUUUUUGGGUGGUGUAAUCCAGAUCUUUUACUGUGAGUAAAUCAGAGUGCUCCAAGCAGGCUCUUUGCAGCUUGUAUGCAUUAGCAUGGAAUAAUGAGAUAGGGCUUUGGUUUUUUUCCUUCCUAUUUCGUUGGCUUUCGGGACCAAAGUAAUGAUGAAAAGGGAUAGUUGGGGGUGCUAGUAUUCAGUGGUCAGCGGUGAAAUGCAUGGACCCACUGAAGACUAACUCAUGCGAAAGCAUUCACCAAGGAUAUCUUCUUUGA
rnacentral:rRNA from 1 species